UGUUCAAAUCCGUCCAACAGGAGUGGGGCCCUAAAGACGGCAUUUCAGUAAACAGUAUUAACUUGCAAUUACCUACUGGGGCAAAUCAGAAAUAGAUGCUAUAGUAAAAUCAUUCCCUAAGAGAACACGAGCCCCGGGUAAGGUGUCCCUCGCGCGGCUGGAGGAUGGGCUCUCCGGGUCCCUCCCCGAGCCCUCCCCUCCAAGGCCCUCCCACACCUCUCCCAGACCAACGCACGGGGAGGAGACCUAUUUAAAAAACAGAAAACUGCUGGGAAUUCUUUCAGCCUCUCUGCCACAAACAACUACCAUUGUCCCAGGCCGAAGGAAACAGAAAAGGAGGCUAUAAAUAGAUCAUGAAAAGAAGAACAAGAGCUGGAUCUCAUGAAGGUACAAGGUGACUCCCAGGGCUCGCCAGGCACCGCAGCGUGACGCGAGGCGAGCCGUGUCGUGUUCUCGGGGUGGAUUCUCCCGAAAGCCUCACAAGCACUGUGGCGGCUUCCUCUUUCUAGUUUCCAUUUGAAGACAGGGCGGAGUCCCCCUAACUUCUGUGACUGCACCCUUGCCUGCUGGACCUCUGCCAAUAUUGGAUAUUGAUUGUAUGUGAGAUCACUGCCCUACAAGAGUUCACAAUGUUUGAGAAUUCUUGCCAGAGCUUCUCGUAAAAAAAUUUCACAGAGAAAUGAAAUAUCACACCACGUGAUAUAGCACUUCUUUGUCAACACAUCUCAUCGUAACUUCUGUUUAAGGAAAGCAUCCAAAAACCACCCAAUUGUGCUGAGUUUGGUCCCAGUGGAGGACGUCUUUGUAACGUGCUUCUGGUCAGUUUCCUUUCGAGCCCCUCCCCCAGAUCAUACACCCGUGAGCCUGACUGCAGCUUGUUUGUCAGAGAAGAUUUCAGUUUCCCUCUUACUCUGGGACACGUUUCUGCCUGCGAGUGACUUGUUCGCGUCUCUGGCGGGUCUGGCUGCAACC
rnacentral:lncRNA from 1 species